rnacentral:rRNA from 1 species
UUCCGGUUGAUCCUGCCGGACCCCACUGCUAUCGGGAUAGGACUAAGACAUGCAAGUCAAGCGCUUUCUAGCUAAUGUGAGAGCGCGGCGUACAGCUCAGUAACACGUGGCCAACCUGCCCUUGGGACGGGAACACCCCCGGGAAACUGGGGUUAAUUCCCGAUAGGUGAAGAAGUCUGGAAUGACUCUUCGCUCAAAAGACGUUUAUGUCAUGCUCAUAUUCGUCGCCCAGGGAUGGGGCCGCGACCGAUCAGGUUGUUGGUGAGGCAAUGGCUCACCAAGCCUUUUACCGGUGCGGGCCGUGAGAGCGGGAGCCCGGAGAUGGGCACUGAGACAAAGGCCCAGGCCCCACGGGGCGCAGCAGUCGCGAAAAUUUUGCAAUACACGAAAGUGUGACAGAGCUAUCCCGAGUGCCAUCCGCUGAGGAAGGCUUUUACCCAGUAUAAAUAGCUGGGAGAAUAAGGAGAGGGCAAGUCUGGUGUCAGCCGCCGCGGUAAUACCAGCUCUCCGAGUAGUGUGGACGUUUAUUGGGCCUAAAGCAUCCGUAGCUUGCUAGAUAAGUCCUCUGUUAAAUCCACCGAUUCAAUCGUUGGAUUGCGGGGGAUACUGUUUGGCUAGGGGACGGGAGAGGUCGACGGUAUUUCCGGGGUAGGGGUGAAAUCCUAUAAUCCCGGGAGGACCACCAGUGGCGAAGGCUGUUGACUAGAACGCGCCCGACGGUGAGGGAUGAAAGCUGGGGGAGCGAACCGGAUUAGAUACCCGGGUAGUCCCAGCUGUAAACUAUGCAAACUCAGUGAUGCAUUGACUUGUGGUCAAUGCAGUGCUGCAGGGAAGCCGUUAAGUUUGCCGCCUGGGAAGUACGUACGCAAGUAUGAAACUUAAAGGAAUUGGCGGGGGAGCACCACAAGGGGUGAAGCCUGCGGUUCAAUUGGAGUCAACGCCGG